rnacentral:rRNA from 1 species
UACGGAAGGCAGCAGUGGGGAAUAUUGCACAAUGGGCGCAAGCCUGAUGCAGCCAUGCCGCGUGUAUGAAGAAGGCCUUCGGGUUGUAAAGUACUUUCAGUCGUGAGGAAGGUGUUAAGGUUAAUAACCUUAGCAAUUGACGUUAGCGACAGAAGAAGCACCGGCUAACUCCGUGCCAGCAGCCGCGGUAAUACGGAGGGUGCGAGCGUUAAUCGGAAUUACUGGGCGUAAAGGGCACGCAGGCGGUUAAUUAAGUUGGAUGUGAAAUCCCCGGGCUUAACCUGGGAAUGGCAUUCAAGACUGGUUAGCUAGAGUCUUGUAGAGGGGGUAGAAUUCCAUGUGUAGCGGUGAAAUGCGUAGAGAUGUGGAGGAAUACCGGUGGCGAAGGCGGCCCCUGGACAAAAGACUGACGCUCAUGUGCG